GCGCGCUACACUGAUGCAUCCAACGAGUUUAUAACCUUGGCCGAUAGGUCUAGGUAAUCUUGUGAGUAUGCAUCGUGAUGGGGAUAGAUUAUUGCAAUUAUUAAUCUUCAACGAGGAAUGCCUAGUAGGCGCAAGUCAGCAGCUUGCGCCGAUUACGUCCCUGCCCUUUGUACACACCGCCCGUCGCUCCUACCGAUUGAGUGUUCCGGUGAAUUAUUCGGACCGUUUUGUGGCGCGUUCGUGCCCGAAAUGGGAAGUUUUGUGAACCUUAACACUUAGAGGAAGGAGAAGUCGUAACAAGGU
rnacentral:rRNA from 1 species